GAAGACGAACUUCUGUGUUUCCAUUUUCUUUUUUUCUUUUUUUAAUUUUUUCUUUUAUUAUUUAAUUUAAUUUGUUUUUAACACAAAAACCAUAAAAAUGUUUAUUUUGUUUUUUUAUUUUAAAUCUUUUUAUUUUUUUAGCCCGGUUCAUAUAUUUAAGGUAGUAUUUCAGUAGCAUAUAAUCUUAAGUGGUCUGGUGGAGAGGAGUGAUUUCAUGGUCUUGAGUGGGGUGGGUUCAAUACCCAUGUUUGUUGCUUUGGUUUUCCAACAUUUUUUAUCUUUCCAUGUUUUUUUCUAACCUUACCAUUUAACUAACAUAUUUCUAUCAUUUAUUCAUUUUUUAUUGUUUUAUUUUUAAUAUGGCUUAUGUGAUUACUCAUUUUUUUUAGGAUUUAUGUGAAUUAUUACAUUUGUGUUUGUUCAUUUCAUUUGUACAAAUUAUUUGCCUUUAUGUGUGGGUUAUGUUACAAUCAUGAUAAAUCAUCACAAUCUCUUUGAUAAAAAAAACAUUCAAAACCAUUUCAAAAUUAAAAAUCAUAUUUUCUCGACUCAAUGUCGAGCCCAUUUUCACACGCUUGUAAGUCGAUUGCUU
rnacentral:lncRNA from 1 species